CUCAGCAGUGCCACAGGCUGAUAGCUUCCAUGCCACGCUGCAUUGAGGCAGUAAUUGCUGCAAAAGGGGCCCAAACCAAGUACUGAGUCCAUAUGCAUGCUUAUACUUUUCAGAGGUCCGAUAUUGUUCUAUGUACACUCCUUGUUUUAUUGAUUGCAUGUAAUAUUCUAAUUUACUGAGAUUGUGGAUUUGGGGUUUUCAUGAG